rnacentral:tRNA from 1 species
GGGGAUGUAGCUCAGAGGGUAGAGUGCUUGCCUCGAAUGCAUGAGGCCCUGGGCUCAAUCCCCAGCACCACAA